UUUACAUUUGAUUGAGUGGCGAACUGGUGAGUAACACGUGGGAAACCUGCCCAGAAGCGGGGGAUAACACCUGGAAACAGAUGCUAAUACCGCAUAACAACUUGGACCGCAUGGUCCGAGUUUGAAAGAUGGCUUCGGCUAUCACUUUUGGAUGGUCCCGCGGCGUAUUAGCUAGAUGGUGGGGUAACGGCUCACCAUGGCAAUGAUACGUAGCCGACCUGAGAGGGUAAUCGGCCACAUUGGGACUGAGACACGGCCCAAACUCCUACGGGAGGCAGCAGUAGGGAAUCUUCCACAAUGGACGAAAGUCUGAUGGAGCAACGCCGCGUGAGUGAAGAAGGGUUUCGGCUCGUAAAACUCUGUUGUUAAAGAAGAACAUAUCUGAGAGUAACUGUUCAGGUAUUGACGGUAUUUAACCAGAAAGCCACGGCUAACUACGUGCCAGCAGCCGCGGUAAUACGUAGGUGGCAAGCGUUGUCCGGAUUUAUUGGGCGUAAAGCGAGCGCAGGCGGUUUUUUAAGUCUGAUGUGAAAGCCUUCGGCUCAACCGAAGAAGUGCAUCGGAAACUGGGAAACUUGAGUGCAGAAGAGGACAGUGGAACUCCAUGUGUAGCGGUGAAAUGCGUAGAUAUAUGGAAGAACACCAGUGGCGAAGGCGGCUGUCUGGUCUGUAACUGACGCUGAGGCUCGAAAGUAUGGGUAGCAAACAGGAUUAGAUACCCUGGUAGUCCAUACCGUAAACGAUGAAUGCUAAGUGUUGGAGGGUUUCCGCCCUUCAGUGCUGCAGCUAACGCAUUAAGCAUUCCGCCUGGGGAGUACGGCCGCAAGGCUGAAACUCAAAGGAAUUGACGGGGGCCCGCACAAGCGGUGGAGCAUGUGGUUUAAUUCGAAGCUACGCGAAGAACCUUACCAGGUCUUGACAUACUAUGCAAAUCUAAGAGAUUAGACGUUCCCUUCGGGGACAUGGAUACAGGUGGUGCAUGGUUGUCGUCAGCUCGUGUCGUGAGAUGUUGGGUUAAGUCCCGCAACGAGCGCAACCCUUAUUAUCAGUUGCCAGCAUUAAGUUGGGCACUCUGGUGAGACUGCCGGUGACAAACCGGAGGAAGGUGGGGAUGACGUCAAAUCAUCAUGCCCCUUAUGACCUGGGCUACACACGUGCUACAAUGGAUGGUACAACGAGUUGCGAACUCGCGAGAGUAAGCUAAUCUCUUAAAGCCAUUCUCAGUUCGGAUUGUAGGCUGCAACUCGCCUACAUGAAGUCGGAAUCGCUAGUAAUCGCGGAUCAGCAUGCCGCGGUGAAUACGUUCCCGGGCCUUGUACACACCGCCCGUCACACCAUGAGAGUUUGUAACACCCA
rnacentral:rRNA from 2 species